rnacentral:rRNA from 1 species
GAUGAACGCUGGCGGCGUGCCUAACACAUGCAAGUCGAACGGAGAUUACGGACGGAAGUUUUCGGAUGGAAGACUGUAAUUCUUAGUGGCGGACGGGUGAGUAACGCGUGGGCAACCUGCCCUAUACAGGGGGAUAGCAGCUGGAAACGGCUGGUAAGACCGCAUAAGUCGGCGAGACCGCAUGGUUUUGCCGGGAAAUGAGCAAUCAGGUAUAGGAUGGGCCCGCGUCCGAUUAGCCAGUUGGCAGGGUAAAAGCCUACCAAAGCAACGAUCGGUAGCCGGACUGAGAGGUCGGACGGCCACAUUGGGACUGAGACACGGCCCAAACUCCUACGGGAGGCAGCAGUGGGGGAUAUUGCACAAUGGAGGAAACUCUGAUGCAGCGACGCCGCGUGAGUGAAGAAAUAUUUCGGUAUGUAAAGCUCUAUCAGCAGGGAAGAUGAUGACGGUACCUGACUAAGAAGCCCCGGCUAACUACGUG